GGGUGAUUAGCUCAGAGGUAGAUGCGCUGCACUUGCCAUGUAGAGGCCAAGGGUUCGAAUCCCUUAUCAUCCA